rnacentral:rRNA from 1 species
UGGGGAAUAUUGCACAAUGGGCGAAAGCCUGAUGCAGCAACGCCGCGUGAGUGAUGAAGGUCUUCGGAUUGUAAAGCUCUGUCUUUUGGGACGAUAAUGACGGUACCAAAGGAGGAAGCCACGGCUAACUACGUGCCAGCAGCCGCGGUAAUACGUAGGUGGCGAGCGUUGUCCGGAUUUACUGGGCGUAAAGGGUGCGUAGGCGGAUGUUUAAGUGAGAUGUGAAAUACCCGGGCUUAACUUGGGUGCUGCAUUUCAAACUGGAUAUCUAGAGUGCAGGAGAGGAGAAUGGAAUUCCUAGUGUAGCGGUGAAAUGCGUAGAGAUUAGGAAGAACACCAGUGGCGAAGGCGAUUCUCUGGACUGUAAU